GCCUUAAUCUUGAAAUCAAGCUCAUUUGGAAAGUUUUAAACUCCUACCUUCUCUACUUUAAUUGGCAAACAAAAAUCUACAAAGAACCCAUUUUUUUCAGCUUCUGCUUGACAAAAUAUAUGGCCUGAAAUCCCCACCAAAAAUAUAAUUAUAAACAGUAACAGAUAAAUAAUCCCCAAAGCACAAAGAACAAUAGCUGAAAUUUAAGACUGGAGAUGCAAAUGCUAAAGCUUUAACAGUCACACAGCAAGCAAUAGCUUUUAUUGCAGAAGAAAAAAAUGAAAUUUAUCAAUUUAUCAAUUCCCCAACAACCCCACAUAAUUUUUACAGGCAGAGAUUUAUGUAAAUUUUCAUGAACAGAAAGUUGUAUGUUAGCACAGACCACCUAAUUAGACGAAGUAUGAUCAUUGUUCAAUCAGAUUUUGCUGCAAUUAAGUAAUAACUCGUGUAGAUCCAGGGAGGAAGAGAGAGUACCUGAGAGUGAGAGGUUUUAAAACCCUAGUGAUUAGUGAAGUGCAGAGAGAGAGGGGGGGGGGAGGGGGUUUUGCAAGCAUACGUUGAGGAGCGGCUGAGGGGAGUUCUCGAGUUCGAAUCCUUUAAGCAGAAGUUCAAAAUUUCGGUCAAGUGUUAUUUGAC
rnacentral:lncRNA from 1 species